AAAUUGAAGAGUUUGAUCAUGGCUCAGAUUGAACGCUGGCGGCAGGCCUAACACAUGCAAGUCGAACGGUAACAGGAAGAAGCUUGCUUCUUUGCUGACGAGUGGCGGACGGGUGAGUAAUGUCUGGGAAACUGCCUGAUGGAGGGGGAUAACUACUGGAAACGGUAGCUAAUACCGCAUAACGUCGCAAGACCAAAGAGGGGGACCUUCGGGCCUCUUGCCAUCGGAUGUGCCCAGAUGGGAUUAGCUAGUAGGUGGGGUAAAGGCUCACCUAGGCGACGAUCCCUAGCUGGUCUGAGAGGAUGACCAGCCACACUGGAACUGAGACACGGUCCAGACUCCUACGGGAGGCAGCAGUGGGGAAUAUUGCACAAUGGGCGCAAGCCUGAUGCAGCCAUGCCGCGUGUAUGAAGAAGGCCUUCGGGUUGUAAAGUACUUUCAGCGGGGAGGAAGGGAGUAAAGUUAAUACCUUUGCUCAUUGACGUUACCCGCAGAAGAAGCACCGGCUAACUCCGUGCCAGCAGCCGCGGUAAUACGGAGGGUGCAAGCGUUAAUCGGAAUUACUGGGCGUAAAGCGCACGCAGGCGGUUUGUUAAGUCAGAUGUGAAAUCCCCGGGCUCAACCUGGGAACUGCAUCUGAUACUGGCAAGCUUGAGUCUCGUAGAGGGGGGUAGAAUUCCAGGUGUAGCGGUGAAAUGCGUAGAGAUCUGGAGGAAUACCGGUGGCGAAGGCGGCCCCCUGGACGAAGACUGACGCUCAGGUGCGAAAGCGUGGGGAGCAAACAGGAUUAGAUACCCUGGUAGUCCACGCCGUAAACGAUGUCGACUUGGAGGUUGUGCCCUUGAGGCGUGGCUUCCGGAGCUAACGCGUUAAGUCGACCGCCUGGGGAGUACGGCCGCAAGGUUAAAACUCAAAUGAAUUGACGGGGGCCCGCACAAGCGGUGGAGCAUGUGGUUUAAUUCGAUGCAACGCGAAGAACCUUACCUGGUCUUGACAUCCACGGAAGUUUUCAGAGAUGAGAAUGUGCCUUCGGGAACCGUGAGACAGGUGCUGCAUGGCUGUCGUCAGCUCGUGUUGUGAAAUGUUGGGUUAAGUCCCGCAACGAGCGCAACCCUUAUCCUUUGUUGCCAGCGGUCCGGCCGGGAACUCAAAGGAGACUGCCAGUGAUAAACUGGAGGAAGGUGGGGAUGACGUCAAGUCAUCAUGGCCCUUACGACCAGGGCUACACACGUGCUACAAUGGCGCAUACAAAGAGAAGCGACCUCGCGAGAGCAAGCGGACCUCAUAAAGUGCGUCGUAGUCCGGAUUGGAGUCUGCAACUCGACUCCAUGAAGUCGGAAUCGCUAGUAAUCGUGGAUCAGAAUGCCACGGUGAAUACGUUCCCGGGCCUUGUACACACCGCCCGUCACACCAUGGGAGUGGGUUGCAAAAGAAGUAGGUAGCUUAACCUUCGGGAGGGCGCUUACCACUUUGUGAUUCAUGACUGGGGUGAAGUCGUAACAAGGUAACCGUAGGGGAACCUGCGGUUGGAUCACCUCCUUACCUUAAAGAAGC
rnacentral:rRNA from 1 species